AGUGGGAAGAGGGGCGGGACAGAGCGAUGCUGCCUGAACUGACAGCAAAUUUAAAUUACUGAGCGUUCUUUUUCUUUUGUUGUGUUUUUUUUUUCCUUCUUUUCGUGCCCUUUCUUUUAUUUUUUUUCUUUUUUUCUUUUUCUUUUUCUUUUUUUUUGGUGUUUUUCUACUCUGCGACAAACUGAAAAGAUUCUCGCACACGCUAAUUUAGCAACCCUGCUUCGUCGUCUUCUUCCCCCCCCCCCCUUCUGCUUCCAGGAUAAUUAAAAGAGGAACCUGUAAAGGCAACAUUCCUUCAAGCAAGUUGGUGCUGCAACGUGCCGAUACUCAGCUCUUUUCAGCAGAAUAAGGAGUAGGUAAACAAAGAAGAAGAGAGCAGGUGUCAAAGGCAGGGAAUAACAGUGGGACUCCUUCAAGACAGGAAAAUACACUCUCAAGCAUGGAGAGAAAAAGAAAGAAUAAGUUGCUUUGUGCUGCCAAUGCCUAUAGUGGAGGGGCUGAACAACAUUCCCAGCAUCACUUCUGCCUCUUUCUCCAUGAACAUCAUUUUUUGCAUAUUAAAGAGAAAGUAAUACUUUGUCAUGCUGUAUUAAAGACAUUUAUCUCCU